GGGUCAGUAGGUUGGUCGUGCCACCGGUACGUACUGGUCUCACUGAUUCCUCCUUCCUGAAGAACCGUAAUGCCAUUAAUUUGGUGUUGCGGGGAAACAGGACUGUUACUCUGAAAAGAUUAGAGUGUUUAAAGCAAGCUAACGCUUGAAUACAUUAGCAUGGAAUAAUGAAAUAGGACGAUCGAUCCUAUUUUGUUGGUUUCUAGGAUUGACGUA
rnacentral:rRNA from 1 species